rnacentral:lncRNA from 1 species
GCGAUCGAUCGUUGUAGAAAUCCAGCUACCGGAGCUCGUUCGUCGUGAAAGCUCAUCGGGAAUCCAUCCACUGUGGAAGCUCGGACAGAGUCUGAUUCUUGUGGGAGGCCGAAAGGAGGCCACUUAUUGUUGGAGCUCAGUCGAAGAUCGGUUGUUGUGGGAGCUUAGAGUAACGACCUGGCCGGUGGAUCCUGCCCCAUGGUACAAGCUCAUCUGAGAUCUGGCUAUGAAGAGGCUCAGCUAAAGGCUACCUGUAAUGGAAGUUCAGAAAAAAUAUAUUUACAGUAG